CCAGAAGUUCCAGCUCAACGUGAGAAAGAACUUCUUUACGUUGAGGAUGGCAGAGCGCUGGGACAGGCUGCCCGAGAAGGGCAUGGAGUCUCUCUGGAGACAUUCCAAACCCAACUGGACAUGUUCCUGUGUCACCUGCUCCAGGUCUGAUAAAGCAAUACAAGAAGGCAAGGAAGAGAAGCAGCAAGUUAAAGAAGACCUGUAGGGAGAAGCAGGUGACCCAGGAGACUGGAUAAAGAGAUUUUUGUGACUAGAAGACUGCUCCAGAUCUUUGCCUGAAAGCCCAGUGUCCUGGUUUGAGGGGAAAUGAGUUUUUUCAGGAAGCUGAGGUCAAACCAAUCAGUGGUCAGGUUUGAAUGUUGACACCUUCGGUGAAAGACUCCUCUCUCCCUGGAUGGAUUGAAGAUUGUUUUUUUAAGGGAUGAUACCUUGGAUUGGGAACCCAGGGUUGUGGAAGGUUUAAGCAAUUAGAUGAGGGUAAUGUGCUAGUGUUAACUGUUAGAGCAUGCAAGGGAUGGAAAUUGGGGGGAGGAGAAGAAGUGUUCUGGGAGGUUUUCUUUUCUGCUUUUGGGUGUUUGCGUUUUCUUUUCUUGUCUAUUGUCUGUUGUUAUAUAGGUUAAUAAAAUUUUCUUUCUCUUUCAAGUUUUAGGCCUGCUCUGCUCUGUUCAUGACCACAUCUCACAGUAGUUCAUUAGGAAAAAUAUACACUGGGUGCACUGGCAUUUGGCCAGCUUCAACCCAUGACACCCUGUAAUUUCAAAGCUAUAAUAAUUUGGAGGGAAGGGGGUCGUAUUUUCCAUUCCAAGGGAGGUUCUCACCUUCCUUGGCAGACACCUGUCUUUUAAACCAAGACAGGGA